CGUGGCACACGGCUCAGUAACACGUAGUCAACAUAACCAGAGGACGUGGAUAAACUCGGGAAACUGAGGCUAAACCGCGAUAGACCAAGAUACCUGGAAUGGUUUUUGAUCAAAAUCUAUAUGGCCUUUGGAUUGGACUGCGACCGAUCAGGCUGUUGGUGAGGUAAUGGCCCACCAAACCUGUAACCGGUACGGGCUCUGAGAGGAGGAGCCCGGAGAUGGGUACUGAGAAAAGGACCCAGGCCCUAUGGGGCGCAGCAGGCGCGAAACCUCUGCAAUAGGCGAAAGCCUGACAGGGUUAUUCUGAGUGACUUUCGCUAAGAAAGUCUUUUGACAUCUCUAAAAAUGGUGUAGAAUAAGGGGUGGGCAAGUCUGGUGUCAGCCGCCGCGGUAAUACCAGCACCCCGAGUGGUCGGGACGAUUAUUGGGCCUAAAGCAUCCGUAGCCGGUUUUACAAGUCCUCCGUUAAAUCCAACUGCUUAACAGAUGGGCCGCGGAGGAUACUAUAAGACUAGGAGGCAGGAGAGGCAAGCGGUACUCAGUGGGUAGGGGUAAAAUCCGUUGAUCCAUUGAAGACCACCAGUGGCGAAGGCGGCUUGCCAGAAUGCGCUCGACGGUGAGGGAUGAAAGCUGGGGGAGCAAACCGGAUUAGAUACCCGGGUAGUCCCAGCUGUAAACGAUGCAGACUCGGUGAUGGACUAGCUUAAUGCU
rnacentral:rRNA from 1 species